ACUUACGGCCAUACCAGCCCAAGAACGCCCGGUCUCAUCUGAUCUCGGAAGCUAAGAAGGCUUGGGCCUGGUUAGUAUUUGGAUGGGAGACCUCCUGGGAAUACCAGGUGCUGUAAGCU
ensembl:rRNA 5S_rRNA 5S ribosomal RNA